rnacentral:rRNA from 1 species
UACGUAGGGUGCAAGCGUUGUCCGGAAUUAUUGGGCGUAAAGAGCUUGUAGGCGGUUUGUCGCGUCUGCUGUGAAAUUUCGGGGCUCAACCCCGAACUUGCAGUGGGUACGGGCAGACUAGAGUGUGGUAGGGGAGACUGGAAUUCCUGGUGUAGCGGUGAAAUGCGCAGAUAUCAGGAGGAACACCGGUGGCGAAGGCGGGUCUCUGGGCCGAAAUUGACGCUGAGGAGCGAAAGCGUGGGGAGCAAACAGG